UGGGGAAUAUUGGACAAUGGGCGAAAGCCUGAUCCAGCCAUGCCGCGUGAAUGAUGAAGGUCUUAGGAUUGUAAAAUUCUUUCACCGGGGACGAUAAUGACGGUACCCGGAGAAGAAGCCCCGGCUAACUUCGUGCCAGCAGCCGCGGUAAUACGAAGGGGGCUAGCGUUGUUCGGAAUUACUGGGCGUAAAGCGCACGUAGGCGGAUUGUUAAGUCAGAGGUGAAAUCCCGGAGCUCAACUUCGGAACUGCCUUUGAUACUGGCAAUCUAGAGUCCGGAAGAGGUUAGUGGAAUUCCCAGUGUAGAGGUGAAAUGCGUAGAUAUCGGGAGGAACACCUGUGGCGAAGGCGGCCAUCUGGUUGGAUACUGACGCUGAGACGCGAAAGCGUGGGUAGCGAACAGGAUUAGAUACCCACGUAGUCCCUGAGCGGGCUGGCAAGGCGCAU
rnacentral:rRNA from 1 species